AUAGCCUUAGUUUUCCAACAUCUCCCUCUUCUCGACAAACAUUAUUUUAAGCAAAUGCCAUGAAUUUCUAGUUGUUUUCUACUACAUGUGGCACAGAUGUUAUUACUUUCAGAAGAACCCUACAGGCUCUUUGAGAACCAGUCCUUUGGCUUGGGGUGACAUCAGGAAACUGAUGUCUUCUCUGCUGGUGGGGAAGCAUAAUCUUACUGUCUGGAAUAAUAAAGAAUCAUAGAGUCUUAAUCUUCAGGUAAGGCAUAAUUUACCUUUUAAUUGAGCUAAAGACUCGAUUAUAUACUUGGAGAAAGAUUGCUUGGUAUAAAGACUUUGUUUUGUCUUUUUUAGGGCAUUGGCCCUAAACUGCGAUGCUCCAUUGGAUGAUAAAAUUGGAGCAGAGUCUCGGAAUUGGAGAGCUGGUAAGCCAGUCAGAGUGAUACGCAGUUUUAAAGGGAGGAAGAUCAGCAAAUAUGCACCAGAAGAAGGCAACAGAUAUGAUGGCAUUUAUAAGGUAGUGAAAUAUUGGCCAGAGAUUUCAUCCAGCCAUGGCUUCUUGGUUUGGCGUUAUCUUUUAAGAAGAGAUGAUGUCGAACCUGCUCCUUGGACCUCAGAAGGAAUCGAACGAUCAAGGAGACUGUGUCUGCGAUUGCAGUAUCCAGCAGGCUACCCCUCAGAUAAGGAAGGGAAGAAAACCAAGGGGCAGUCAAAGAAGCAGACGAGCGAAGGCACCAAAAGGCCAG
rnacentral:lncRNA from 1 species